rnacentral:rRNA from 1 species
GACGAACGCUGGCGGCGUGCUUAACACAUGCAAGUCGAACGGAAAAGCCCUGCUUUUGUUGGGUGCUCGAAUGGCGAACGUGUGAAUAACACGUGUGUAACCUGCCCUUGACUUUGGGAUAACUUCAGAAAACUGGGUCUAAUAGCGGGUAGGAGCUCCUGCUGCAUGGUGUGGGUUGAGAAGUUUCCGCGGUUGGGGAUGGACGGGGGGCUUAUCAGCUUGGUGGUGGGGUAGUGGCUUAUCAAGGCUUUGACGGGUUGCCUGCCUGGGCGGGUGGACGGCCACAUUGGGCCUGAGAUACGGCCCAGAGUGCUACGGGAGGCAGCAGGGGGGAAUAUGGCACAAUGGGCGGAAGCCUGAUGCAGCAACGCCGCGUGCGGGAUGACGGCCUUCGGGUUGUAAACCGCUGUCGGUUGUGACGAAGCGUGAGUGACGGUAAUGGGUAAAGAAGCCCCGGCUAACUACGUG